GAUGAACGCUAGCGGCAGGCCUAAUACAUGCAAGUCGAGGGGCAGCGCGGUAGCAAUACUGGCGGCGACCGGCGCACGGGUGCGUAACACGUAUGCAACCUACCUUCAACUGGAGGAUAGCCCGGGGAAACUCGGAUUAAUACUCCAUAACACAGGGAUCCCGCAUGGGAAUAUUGUUAAAGCUACGGCGGUUGAAGAUGGGCAUGCGUUCGAUUAGCUAGUUGGUGUAGGUAACGGCUCACCAAGGCUACGAUCGAUAGGGGGUCUGAGAGGAUGAUCCCCCACACUGGUACUGAGAUACGGACCAGACUCCUACGGGAGCAGCAGUAGGGAAUAUUGGUCAAUGGGCGCAAGCCUGAACCAGCCAUGCCGCGUGCAGGAAGAAGGCCCUCUGGGUUGUAAACUGCUUUUGAUAGGGAACAAAUGCCACUUGCGAGUGGAGCUGAGUGUACCUAUAGAAUAAGCACCGGCUAAUUCCGUGCCAGCAGCCG
rnacentral:rRNA from 1 species